AUGUCCUAAAUGGUUUACACUGCGCACAGCUUCCUCUCAGCCCGCUCUGAGCUGGAAGCAGCAUGUGGGACCUGGCCCUGAUCUUCCUCGCAGCAGCCUGCGUGUUCUCACUAGGGGUCACUCUGUGGGUCAUUUGCAGCCAUUUUUUCACUGUGCACAUCCCUGCAGCGGUUGGCCACCCUGUGAAACUGAGAGUCCUCCAUUGCAUCUUCCAGCUGCUGUUGACUUGGAAACCCACCAUGGCAUAUGCUCUCGUUUGUGCAAGGAGAGUGACUCCGUGGUUCUGGCAGUUGGUUACCGCAAGUUACCUAAGCAUAAGUUUCCAGUGCCAGUAAGAGACUGCUUGGUGGCCACCAUCCACUUCCUGAAGUCCCUGGAUGCAUAUGGAGUGGAUCCAGCCCGGGUUGUGGUCUGCGGUGACAGUUUCGGAGGGGCAAUAGCCGCAGUGGUUUGUCAACAACUUGUGGACAGGCCAGAUCUGCCCCGGAUCCGGGCUCAGAUCCUGAUCUAUGCCAUUCUCCAAGCCCUGGAUUUACAAACCCCUUCGUUUCAACAGAGGAAAAACAUCCCACUGCUCACCUGGAGUUUCAUCUGCUACUUUUUUUUUCAAAACCUGGAUUUCAGCUCCUCCUGGCAAGAGGUCAUCAUGAAAGGUGCCCAUUUGCCUGCUGAAGUCUGGGAAAAGUACAGAAAGUGGUUGGGCCCAGAAAACAUCCCUGAGAGGUUUAAGGAGAGGGGUUACCAACUGAAGCCCCAUGAGCCCAUGAAUGAAGCUGCUUACUUGGAAGUAAGUGUUGUCCUGGAUGUGAUGUGCUCGCCCCUGAUUGCAGAAGAUGACAUAGUGUCUCAGCUCCCGGAAACCUGCAUCGUGAGCUGUGCUUGGAAAAGCAAAUGGCAAUCAUCUCUGGAGGAAGGAAACAUUCUAGGCUUUACAUUGUUUUUGCAAAGAAUUUUUAAGAUACCAGCUACGUGAGAAGAAAAGAGCUAGAAGUAAGAACCCACAGAAACAAGAGUAAAAAUAAGAAAAGAAAAGAAAAAUCCAAAUUCUGUAAAAGAGGUCUGCUUACUAUGCUGAAGGAGAUAAAAAUCUAAAUUUGAAAUUUGAGGAAGUUGAAACUGGUAAUUUAAAAGUUCAGAAGGCAAAACGAAAUUUAAAAAAUUAAAAUGGAAAAAAUAACAUAGCAUUAAUACACACACACACACACACACACAAACACACACACGUAUAUAUAGGAAACAAAUAGAAAUUCCAGAACUGAAGAAUACAGUAAACAAAAUAAAAAUUCAACAGAUAGACUUGUCAAAAGAAAAACUUCAGCCAAGUUAAACUUAAAGGAGUUUAAUUGAGCAGUGAAUGAUUCACAAAUUGGGCAGCCCUCAUAAUCAUAGCAGAUUCAGAGAGACUUCAGAGGUGCCUUGUGGUGAGAACAAAUUUAUAGACAAAAAACAAAAAACAAAAAACGGGGGGGAUGUUUCAUACAGAAAUUGGAGGUGAGGUACAGAAACAGCUGGAUUGGUUACAGGUUGGCUUUUGCCUUAUUUGAACACAGUUUGAACACUCAGCAGCCUGUGGAUGGCUGAAAUAUGGCUUCUGGGAAUGGCCAAGACCCAGCUGUUGUUACAGGUGCAUACUCCUACGUUAGGUUUUCAGUCUUGUCUGCCUAUUAAGCUAGGUUAUGAUUUGUCUACAAGGACUCAAACAGAGAAGUACAGAGUCCUCCUCAGGCCAUAUUUAGUUCGCUUUAACAGGCUUGAUUUCACCUUAGACACACCUGAAGAAAAGUUAUGUAAACUGGAAUCUAGGUCGGAAGAAACUAUAAGAAAUCAAGCAUGAAGAGACAAAAGGAUAGAAAAUACAGAAGAGGGGACCAGAAGCAUUGAGGAUUCAGUGAUAAGAAAGAACAAAUAUGUAAUUGUUUUCCUAAAAGGAGAGUGGAAAGAAAGGAGGCAGCAGCCAUAUUUGAACAGAUAAUAGCUGAGAAUUUCCUAAAAUGAUUGAAAGACAUUUACCCAUAAAUCCAAGAAGCAUAUUGCAAGCAGUGUAAAGCAAUCCACUCCUACCUAGAUAUAUCAGAAUAAUGCUGCAGGAAACCAAAGAUAAAGAGAAAAUCUUAAAAACAAAACAAAACAAAAUAAUCGCCCAGAUACCUUAAAAGAAUUAAUAAACUGACACUUGUUUUCUCAGAAGCAACAAUGACAGUCAGGAAACAGUGGAAAAAUUUAUUCCACGUGUGAAGAAAAGUAACUGCCAAACUUGAAUUCUACCAUCACCGAAAAUAUCCUUCAGAAUCAAAGUGAAAUAAAGAUGUUUUCAGAUAAAUAGAAACUGAGGAAGUUUGCCACUAGCAGAACUCCUUUAAAGGAAAUUCUAAAGGGUUCUUCAGGAAAAAGGGAAAUGAUCACAGAUGGGAGGUCAGAGAUGCAGAAUGGAAUAAAAAAUAAUGCAAAUGGCAAAUAUGUGGGCAAAUCUAAGUAAAUGCUAACUAUAAAAUGAUAAUAAUAAUAACUCAUGUAAUGUAAAAUAUGUAGGAGAGAGAAUUAAAGUACAUAAUAGCAUAUAGAUCUGGAAGGGACCAAAUAGAGUUAAAUUGUUCUAAGGUCCUUGAGUUUUCUGGGAGGAGGGUAAAAGUAUCAACCAAGAUUAGACUUUGCUAAGUCAUGAGUGCAUGGUAAUUUCUUUGGUAAACACUAAAGUAAUAGAAAAUAGUUUAGUCCACUAUGGGAGGCAGAAAAAUAAUAGUUAAGGGAAUUUAUAUCCUUAAAACAACAAUUAAGGGAAUUUAUAGUCUUAAAAGCAUAUAGAAGAAAGGAAUAAAGGCUGAAAAUUAAUGAACUAAACAUCCAUCUCAAAAAACUAGAAAACUGAUAGUAAAACAAAUCCAAAGAAAAUAUAAGGAAGAUAAUGAAAAAAAUAAAGUUUUUAAAAGUAUUUUUUAUUUACUUUUAUUUUUUAAAUUAUUUUUUAUAUCUUUAAAGGAAAAUUUCUAAAAUAAAACAAUCACACAAUAGAGAUGAUCAACCAUGCCAUGUUUUGGCUCUUGGAAAAGACGGAUAAAAUUGGUAAUAUCUGGUGAGACCAAUAAAGUAAAAGAGAAAAGCCAUAAAUAGUAAAUAUUAGGCAUAAAGGGAACUUUAAUACAGGCCCUAGAGAUAUAAAAAGAUAAUAAGAAGACAUUAUGAGCAACAUAUGUCAAAAAUUUUGAAAAUUUAGGUGCAACGUAUAAAUUCCUAGAAAAAUACAACUUACCAAAACUGGGAAAGGAAACAGAAAACCUACGUAAUUUUGUACCUAAUAAAGAUAGUGAAUCUAAAAUAGAAAAGCCUUCCAACAAAAACAAGACCAAACAGAAACCUCUUGGCCCAGAUGGCUUGAUUUAUGUAAUAUUCAAGGAAGAAGUAACACUCAGCCACACACACACACACAAAACCUGAUUUAAAAAUGAGCAAAGGCAAAGAACUAAAAAUAGAAUUACAGUUAGACCUAACAAUCGCAUUACUAAGUAUUUACCCAAAGGAAAAUAAACCCUUCUACCAAAAAGACACCUAUACCUGUAUGUGUAUUGCGGCACUAUUUACAACAGCAAAGACAUGGAAUCAACCCUGGUGCCCCUCAAUGGUGUGGCUUGGAUAAAGGAAAUGUGGUACAGGCUGGGUGCAGGGGCACACGCCUGUAAUCCCAGCACUUUGGGAGGCCAAGGUGGGCAGAUCACUUGAGCCUAGGAGCUCGAGACCAGCCUGGGCAACAUGAUGAAACCUCGUCUCUACCAAAAAUACAAAAAUUAGCCAGGUGUGGUGGUAUGCACCUGCAGUCCCAGCUACUCAGGAGGCUGAGAUAGGGGGAUUGCUUGAGCCUGGGAAGUUGAGGCUGCAAUGAGCUGUGAUCAUGUCACUGCACUUCAGCCUAAGUGACAGAGUGAGACCCUGUCUCUGAAAAGACAAGAAAAGAAAAUUGGUACAUAUACAUUAUGGAAUACUACACAGCCAGAAAAAGGAAUGAAAUCAUGUACAAUGUGGCAACAUAGAUGCAGCUGGGGGCCAUUAUCCUAAGUGAAUUAAUGCAGAAACAGAAAACCAAAAACCACAUGUUCUCACUCAUAAGUGGGAGCUCAACACUGGGGACACAUGGGCACAAACACGGGAACAGUGGACACCAGGGAUUCCAAAAGUGGGGAGGGAGAAGGAGGGCAAGCGUUGAAAACUCCCUAUUGGGUACUAUGUUCACUACUUGGGUGGCAGGAUCAUUAGAAGCCCAAGCUCUAGGAUCUUGCAAUACAUGCGUGUAAAAACCUGCACAUUCACCCCUUGAACCUAAAAUAAAAAAUGAAGCAAAACAAAACAAUGGGCAAAGGACUUGAAUAGACAUUUCUCUAAAGUAGAUCUAUAAAUGGCCAAUGAGCACAUGACAAGAUGCUCAAUACCAUUAGUCAUUAGGGGAAAUUAAAUUCACAAUGACAUACCACUUCACACCCACGAGGCUGGUUAUUGUUUAAAAACUGGAAAAUAACAAGUGUUGGUGAGGAGGCAGAGAAAUGGGAACCCUCGUGCUCUGCUGGUGGGAAUGAGAAAUGAUGCAGAUGCUGUGGAAAACAGAUGCUUUUGUGGUUCGUGAACCUGAUGAUUGGGUGUUCAUGUAUGUGUGUGAGAUGUACCACCCUCGAACCUUGUUAUGACGUCAGCACAUUACCCAUCUGACCUGGAAAAAAAAAAGAGAGAAGAAAGCAGUUUUGUGGUGCCAAUUUCAUCCUAGGUAUAAACCCAAAGAACUGAAGGCAGGGAUUCAAACAGCUACUUGUAUACUAGUGUUCAUACCAGGAUUAUAUUUACAAAAGCCAGAAGGUGAAAACACAUCAAAUGUCCAUCACCAGAUGAAUGGAUAAACAAUGUGUUAAAUACAUACAACGGAAAUACCAUCCAGCCUAAAGAGGAAUGCAGUUCUGAUACAUGCUACAACAUAGAUGAAUCUUGACAACAUUAUCUCAAUGCAAGAAAACUGACACAGGAGGACAAGUAUUAUAUGAUUCCACUUAUAUGAGAUACCUAGACCAGGCAAAUUCACAGAGACAAAGGAGAAGAGAGAAUACCAGGGGUUUAGGAGAAGGGGAGAAUGGGGAGUUACAGCUUAAUUGGUACAGAGUUUCUGUUUGGGAUGCUGAAAAAGUUCCGGAAGGUGUGGAGCAAUGGAAACACCCGUACACUCAUGGUGGGAAUGUAAAUUGAUACUACUCUCUGGAAAAUAAUUGGCAUUAUCUAGUACAGCUGGAGACACAUAUGCACUCUCUGAUGUAGCAAUUCCACUCCUACGUAUUUAUUCUAGAGCAGUGGGUUUCAAAGUGAGACCCACAGAUGCUUGGAGGUCCCAAGUCCCUUUCAAGGGGCCUGGAGGGUCAAAACAAUUUUCUUUUUUUUCUUUUACUUUUUUUUUUGAGAUGGAGUCUCGCUCUUGUUGCCCAGGCUGGAGGCAAUGGUGCGAUCUCGGCUCACUGCAACCUCCACCUCCCGGGUUCAAGCAAUUCUCUUUCCUCAGCCUCCCGAGUAGCUGGGAUUACAGGUGCCCGCCACAAUGCCUGGCUAAUUUUUUGUAUUUUUAGUAGAGAUGGGCUUUCACUAUGUUGGCCAGGCUGGUCUUGAACUCCUGACCUCGUGAUCCGCUCGCCUCGGCCUCCCAAAGUGUUGGGAUUACAGGUGUGAGCCACCGUGCCCAGCCGACAAUUUUCAUAAUAAUACUAACUUGUUAUUUGCCCUUUUCUACAGUGCUUUUUUUUUUUUUUUUUUUUUUUGAGACAGAAUUUCGCUCUUGUCACCCAGGCUGGAGUACAAUGGCACGAUCUUGGCUCACUGCAACCUUUACCUCCUGGUUCAAGUGAUUCUCCUGCCUCAGCCUCCCAAGUAGCUGAGGAGGCGUGCACCACCACCCUCUGGCUAAUUUUUGUAUUAUGAGUAGAUACAGGGUUUCACCAUGUUGGCCAGGCUGUUCUCGAACUCCUGACCUCAGGUGAUCCACCUGCCUCGGCCUCCCAAAGUGCUGGAAUUACAGGUGCGAGCCACUGCGCCUGGUCCACAGUGCUUACUUUGAUGGUGCAAAAGCAUUUGUGGGUAAAAUUGCUGGCACCUGUGAACGAAUCAAGGCCGUGCCAUUAAUUAUAUUAGUAUCCUUUAUUCUUCACUGCCACACACUCACAGUUUAAACAAAAAAAUUAAGUUCACUUAAGAAUGUCCUUUGAUGAAGAAGUAACAGUUAUUUGAUCAAAUCUUGACCCUGAGCAAAUGCCUUUUUAGCACUCUGUGUGAUGAAAUGGGAAAGAGAUACAAAUAAGGCACUGACGUUGCACAUCCAAGGGUGAGGGCUGUCUUGAGAAAGAGCAUUUGUGUGGAUUAUUGAGUUGUGACCUGAAUUAAUUAGCCAGGCUUUUUUUUUUUUUAAAUGAAACACCAUUUUUACUUGACAGACCAUGAUUAUUCACAGACAAACCAUGAUUAUUUAAAUUUGAAUUUUUUUUUUUUUUUUUUUUUUUUUUGAGACGGAGUCUCACUCUGUUGCCUAGGCUGGAGCUGUGGUGCGAUCUCGGCUCACAGCAAACUUCGCCUCCCAGGUUUGAGCAAUUCUCCUGUCUCAGCCUCCCGAUGAAAUGUUCUCUUGAUGUUUCCUUGAAAAUGAAUGAGGUAAGUCUGUCGCUUCAAGGAAAACAACUGAGAUUAAUUGUUGCCAAUAACAAAAUUUUGAGCUUUCAAACUAGAACUAGAAUUUUGGAAAGCUUGCGUCCACCGCUGUGAGCUUAACAACUUCCUAAUAGUUCAAUGCUUUUCUGACCAUAUCAGUAAUGAUGUUAGCAAAUGUGAUUUUUUCUUUUUUGAGACAGGGUCUCACUUUGUUGCCCAGGCUAGAGUGCAGUGGUGCAAUCGCUGCUUACUGUAGCCUUGACCUCCUGGGCUCAGGCCAUCCUCCUACCUCACUCUCCCAGUAGCUGGGACUACAACUGUGCAUCACCACGCCUGGCUAAUUUUUGUAUUUGUUUGUAAAGAUGGAGUUUUGUCAUGUUGCCCAGGCUGAUCUUGAACUCCUGGGCUCAAGUGAUCUGCUCGCCUCAGCCUCCCAAAGUGCUGGUAUUACAAGGUGUGAGCCACUGUAACCAGCAGCAAGUGUGCUUUUUAAAAAUAUUGUAUAGUUUGGAAGAGCUACACAGCUUAGUAAAGCAAUAUUUUCCAGAUGACCACCAAAAUCACCAAUGGGCAAAAAAUUUAUUCAAAUUUUUUGUUUUGGAAAAUGGAUUUAAUCUUUAUUAAAAAAUUAAUUAUGUUAACAUGAAAUGAGUUUUUUUUUGUUAUUUGGAAAUUAAUAAAUAUAUUUUAAAUU
rnacentral:lncRNA from 1 species